rnacentral:lncRNA from 1 species
UCAAAUUCCAUGUUCCUGGCAGCUGUGAUGGACAGAUUUUACUGGUGACGUUGGAGCAACACAGACUUUGGCUCCCAGGUAUCUGAGACUGCAGGAAAGUUAACCAGCAACAGCGUUGGGGCUAGGGAAGGGCAAAGCUCUCGGAGACCUUGAGAGUGAAGCUUGGAAGUCCCCACCUUCAUUCGAGCCUCUGGCUCAGGCUGGGAGAGAAGAUGGAGUCGGUCCUGGAAGGUUCGGUGGUGAAAGAGGAUGACAGGACAUUUCCAAAUCGUCAUAGGAAGGUGAAGAAGUGGCAAGUACAUGGCUGAGAGCAGGGGUCUGGUGCAGGGUGACCUAAUCCAGUCCUGAUGAUGCCGAUUUCUACACAAGCAACCACCUUUCUGUGCCUCUGUGUUUUCAUCUGCAAAAUGGGAACAGUGAUGUAUAGUAGUGCCUGUUUUGGAGAGUACAUGAUUUAAUACACAUGGAGUAUGGGGAACAGCGCCUGGCCUAAAGUGAAUCCAAGAUAACAAUGGCCUUGUUUCAUUACACGUGGUCCUGGCUGGGAAGAAAAGACACUACAGUGUGAUAAGAGGGGCCUUGGGGGACCUGACCUGGGCCCUGGGCCUGGGCGAGGAGGUGAUGAGGACACAGGAGAAUCCCCCCAAGGAGGUGACAUUCAUCUGAGACCUAACAGGUGACGAGGUUCCUGGAGGUAACUGGGUGAGGAUCAGGGUGGGGGUGGGGAACAUACCAGGAGGAAGGGCCAGCACGUGCCAAGGCCCUGAGGUUCCUGGAAGCCUGGUCUGUCCAAG